AAUGGAAAAAAAGUUAUUUAAUAAGUCAUUUUCCUUAAAAAAAAUGGAGCAUGAAAAUCCAACCCAUUUUUGACUCUCAAAACCGAACCUUCCUCUCUUCCCUUUGUCAAGACAGGACACAAAUAUUAGAACAGCAACAAGAACAUAAAAUGGGUGCAUGUGCUUCUUCUCAAAGCGAAAUAAGAUCAAGAUCACCAUCAUCAUCAACGAUCAAGAUCAUCGACAAUGAUGGGAAAUUACAGGAGCUGAAGCAGCCAAUCAAAGCUGGUGAUAUUACAGCAAAGAAUCCAGACAGCUUCCUUUGUAGCUCAGAAUCUAUGUAUUUAGUCUAGCUGUCAAGGCAAGCUCUGCCCUUGGCCUUGCCAGUUUUCCGGUGUCUGAAAGUCAUGGAUACGUUAGAGUUUCACUUUUUCCGGUGGAAAAUUUAUGGCCGUGGAAGUGUAGAAACUAGAAAGAGACGUGUAAGAAGUUGCAGCCUUGCAGGCGAAAGACGCGUUUUUCCGUUAUAUAUCAUCUUUUAUACAAUUUUUGUAUUCAUUGGAUGUUAAUGUGUUCACAUUUUCUUUUCUUUUCUUUCUGUUUUUGGAAGCUAAAGAAGGAGAGCUAUUCAAAUUA